UACGAAGGGAGCUAGCGUUGUUCGGAAUCACUGGGCGUAAAGCGCACGUAGGCGGAUUUGUCAGUCAGGGGUGAAAUCCCGAGGCUCAACCUCGGAACUGCCUUCGAUACUGGCGACCUUGAGUCCGGGAGAGGUGAGUGGAACUCCUAGUGUAGAGGUGAAAUUCGUAGAUAAUUAGGAAGAACACCAGUGGCGAAAGGCGGCUCACUGGCCCGGUACUGACGCUGAGUGUGCGAAAGCGUGGGGAGCAAACAGG
rnacentral:rRNA from 1 species